UGUCCACACGUCCAGUCAAGUCGCCGUUGUCGUUGUCGUUGCCCGUUUUGUUCUUACUCGUAUUGUCUCUCUCUCUCGCUCUCUCUCUUUCGUGAUCUCGUCCAUCACGCGGGAUUCGCACUCGUUCUUGGGCUGCACUCGUGUCGUUCAGCCCACUUCGGCUAAUUUACCGUUUGAAAACUGUUUGCACUUCGCCUGUUACAAAAUACUCGUUUUGCGCCUCGAACUAAUUAAGUGUACUAUCGAUAUUGCUAUCGAUAAACUUGUGUGUGUUUGACAUGUGAACCACCGCAGUUCAGUUGUGUGCAUUUUACAUAUUGCAAAAGCUUUUGCAGAAAGCUCUCGAAUAACGGUGUUAGAUGAGAUCAAAGAACGCAUGUAACAUGCCAAGCACUAUCAGAGCAUUUCACCACAGACACAAACAGACAGACUUGGGGAAAUUCCCCAGCUGACACACAUAUACAGACUCACACGCAUGUGUAAAUGGAAGGAAAGUUUGCUUAAGGGUAGGAAAAGCUGCGCAACAAUGCCGCGCGCGUUUUUCCAGUUUUUCCUGUCGUAUGCACUUGGCAUUAUGCCUACUAACCCUAUUUAGCAGCGCAGCGAGUCCCAUUUUUCGACUGCAUGCAGAACACAAACACACAUACACACAAACACACACAUCGACACACACACAGAUGGAGAAUCGUGGUUGGCAUUGCGAAUUUUCCCAUGGCAGAGUCCUUUUUCCAAGCAGCUGAGCCGAGCUGCUGAAAGGCGAAACGGAAAGUGCGGCAACGAAAUGUGAAAUGUGUUUUUGUGGCGCACUUGAAUUUGGGACACAUUCCUGCAAAGGACGCAACGCAAAAGGAUACGCGGCCAACAAAGCGCAACCACAAAAAAUACAAAAAAAAAAACACACACACACAUAUAUAUGGAAGAUGAAAAACACUUCAAGUGCAAUUAGUUAAAUUAAAGUGCGUAAAUAAAUUAGAAAAUAUGAAAUGAAAAUAUUUGAAUUGAAUAUGUGAAAAGCAAACAGCAAAGUGUGUGUGAUAAACAAUGGAAAAACCUGUGGAAAACUGCAGUUGCAGUUGCAACCGAUAAAUAAAACACAAAAUGAAAUGCAGUUAAAUAAAUUCAAAAUUUGAAAUUAAACAGAAAAUGCAAUAAUAAUUGUUAAUUGCAAUGCAUUUGAAUAUUAAAUAUUAAUUGCAAAACUCGAAAAGCGAAAGCAGUGCAUUAACAUUGUGUGAGUGUGUGCGAGUGUGUGUGUGUGAGGGAUUUGCAUAUGUGUGCGUGCUGAAAAAUCGAUUAUUAAAGCCACCAGCUGGUGGUUGUUGUUGCCGCUUUGUGCGGUGGUUGGCGGCUGCGGGGGUGGUUUGUUGUUGCUCCCCGAUUUACUUGGUCAAACUGCAGCAACAACAACAGCAACAGCAACAACAGCAACUGCUAGGGUUGCGUGCCGCAAUGUGGAAAACAAGCAGCGACUGCGACGCCAGCGGCAGCAGCGGCAGCGACACACUUCCAGUGACAAAUUCCAAUGGCGCCUUGCAGCCUUGCAGCGGCAGCGACAGCGACAAUAACAACAGCACGUUGCAGCGCCAGGAUAUGACAGCAACAACAACAACAACUACAACAAUAUCAGCAGCAGCAGCAACAGCAACAGCAGCAAUUGUGGCAGCAUUUGCCAGUUACGGCCACAGAUACACACUUGCAACAGCAGCAGCAACGACAGCAACAGCAGCAGCACAAUAGCCCAAUCUAAGGAGCAAACUUAUUGCAACAAAUCAAAUGCAUUUCGGCAGCGAGCAACAGCAACAGCAACAGCAACAACAAACACCAACAACACAUAAACGCGACUGAUUUACUGUGCAAUAAAAAACCAAAAAAUAAAAAUAUAAAUACAAAAAACACUGACAGCAAACGCACAAAAUAAAAACAAAACGCAGCGCGCUGCAGCAAAUUAAGUAUACGACGCAUAUUCCACGCGAUACAGUGCAAGCCCAAAGAAAAUAUAUACAAAAAAAUAGAGACAACAUAACAAUAAUAAAAAGCAAAAAGAAAUUGAAAAUAAUAAGAAAAAUAUUCAAAAACAAAGCAGAGAAAUAAAUGAAAUGCGCGAAAAAAUAUAUUAAAUAAAUAUUCAAAGCAAAGUUGCAGAGAAAUGAAUGAAAUGCAUGUAGAAAUACAAUAAAUAAAUAUGAAAAAAAAAACAACACAGAAAUGAAUGAAAGAAUAAAUUUAAAAUAAAUAAAUGAAUGUAUGGAAAAAGUCAAUAAAUAAAUGAACGAAAAUAAAAGUAUUGUAAAAGCAAAAAA